rnacentral:tRNA from 1 species
GCCACCGUAACUCAGUUGGUAGAGUAGUUCAUUCGUAAUGAACAAGUCGCUGGUUCGAAUCCAGUCGGUGGCUCUA